rnacentral:rRNA from 1 species
AUUGAACGCUGGCGGCAGGCCUAACACAUGCAAGUCGAACGAGAGGCGGACGGGUGAGUAAUGUCUGGGAAACUGCCUGGCGGAGGGGGAUAACUCCUGGAAACAGUAGCUAAUACCGCUAACCAUCAGAUGUGCCCCGAUGGGCUUAGCUUGUUGGUGGGGUAACGGCUCACCAAGGCGACGCUCCCUAGCUGGUCUGAGAGGAUGACCAGCCAGACUGGAACUGAGACACGGUCCAGACUCCUACGGGAGGCAGCAGUGGGGAAUAUUGCACAAUGGGCGCAAGCCGUAUGCAGCCAUGCCGCGUGUAUGAAGAAGGCUUUCGGGUUGUAAAGUACUUUCAGCGGGGAGGCGUUAUCCGCAGAAGAAGCACCGGCUAACUCCGUGCCAGCAGCCGCGGUAAUUC